rnacentral:rRNA from 1 species
GUGUCAGCAGCCGCGGUAAUACGGAGGGUGCAAGCGUUAUCCGGAUUCACUGGGUUUAAAGGGUGCGUAGGUGGGAAUGAAAGUCAGUGGUGAAAUCUCCGGGCUUAACCCGGAAACUGCCAUUGAUACUUUGUUUCUUGAAUCUUCUGGAGGUCAGCGGAAUAUGUCAUGUAGCGGUGAAAUGCUUAGAUAUGACAUAGAACACCAAUUGCGAAGGCAGCUGACUACGGGAGUAUUGACACUGAGGCACGAAAGCGUGGGGAUCAAACAGGAUUAGAUACCCGUGUAGUCC